CCAAUUUAGGUUUACGGUGACGGAAACUUUAAAAAACUACCAGAAAUUAUCUGUAUGUUAAUGAGAAUCUGAUGAUUUGCGCAGUUGGGUGAACCUGAAAAUUUUCUUAUGCAGGAACGUAGCGGAUUAGAGGAUUGACUAAAACAUUCAGUUUAAGAGUACGAGAGAGGGAGAAUGAAAUAAGGGAAAGAAAUAAGUAAAAGGAGAUAGCUGGUAUAGGGCAAGGAAAUAUGGUAGCUGUUAAUAAGAGAAACUAAAGAUGCUAUGGGAUAUGAAAGUCCGACAAGGAUGCAGCAACAAGAUCGCCAAGUAAUUGUUUACAACAGGCGUAAACGAAGCAUAAAGAUCAAUAGAAGGGACAGAGAAUCUAAAUCAACUGAAUUUAGCAAGAAGAUGGGACUUAUAUUUAAUCCUGUAAGGAUGCCCGUACAUGAGAAUGCAAGAUACUAAUUAUAUACGGCCGCUUCUUUUAUAGUUGCGCGUUGCUGUUGCUAGUGACGCUAUAAAUAAACAAUCCGAAUUGUUUAAUGUUGGACGAGCGGCUGCCUGAGUCAUUGGCGCGAUUUCACAAAUCGACUUACUAUAUACUACUGUUUCGUUGUCGCCGAACAAAUCUGAACCUGAACCACGAGGGCUGGUCCCCCACUACUGAAUGCCU